CCGAGAUUGCGCCACUGCACUCCAGCCUGGAUGACAGAGUGAGACUCUGUCUCAAAAAAAUAAAAAAUAAAAAAAUAAUUAGCCAGGCAUGGUGAUGUGUGCCUAUAGUCCCAGCUACUCGGGAGGCUGAGGUGGGACAAUCACGUGAGCCCAGGAGUUUGAGCUGUGAUUGCGCCCCUGCAUUCCUGCCUGGGUGGCAGAGCAAGGCCCUGUCUCAAAGAAAGAAAUUGAAUUAAGAAGCAUAAAGAGGGAAGCCUGUUAGCUAUGGAGGAAUGAGCAGAAACUAUAGGGCAACAAGGAACUGGUGAGGAAGAGAGAGAAGAGAGUGGAUAUGCCAAGAGGAGCAAGGGCGUUGUGGAGCAAGGAAGAGAGAGAAGAGAGUGGAUAUGCCAAGAGGAGCAAGGGUGUUGUGGAGCAAGGAACUGAGAGCCCCAGUUUCACAUGUGUCCUAAAAAUCAUCUCCCUUGUUCAUUAAUUCAUUCAAUUGUUCAUUCAACCAUGGCUUAUUCUGUUAAGCACUGUUCUAGUCAGGCUCUGGGGACUUCAUAUUAAGCAAGUUCCUGCCCUAUUGGGAUUACAUUCUGGUGGGAAAAACGGACAAUCGUUGAGUAACAAUUAAAGACUCACACAGAGGCAUUCCUGAUUAUGAAUGAUAGAAUGAAGGAAAGAAACUCAGGUCUGAGAGAGAGAAGCAGUGGGGAACUGAGAGCAGACAAGGAGGGCUGUGAAGAUCAGAUCUUGGAGAGGGCCUUGGAGCUGAGAAUCAGAGGGUGGAGAGGAGGCAGCCAAGCAAAGGGAGUGGGAAAAGGACUUCACUCAGAGGACUCUGCCCUUGUUGGGAGGGGCUUGCUGGCUUCCAGGAAUGGGGUGAGGGUGGUGGGGCGGGGAACAGUGGAGCCAAAGGGAAGUGGGGUUGGAGAGGUGGGAGGAGCCAGAUGAGUCCUGCCUUUCUGUUAAUUUAGAUGAAGUUCUGUUCUGGAUGUGGAGGAACGGGGUGGGGGGGCAUCUCCCCAUUCUGGGAAGCUUCAGUUCUUGGCAGAAGUGAGAAAGCUACUCCUGACCGUGGGCAUCGGAUGGGUGGUGAUCAAACUAGGAUGCAUUCCCUCCCUGGCUUUUAGUGUCUGUUGGUUAGCCAGGGAACUUGAGUUAGGCACUGUAUUAAGCAUGUCUUUUUAUUCUGAUGUUUUGACAUCUGGGGUCUUACUGACUCCAGCUCCCAGGGCUAGCUGCCCUUCCCUGGGCUAGCUUACAAAGCACACCUUUCAAAUGCAAACCAACCAAUCCAGAUCCCACACCCGCAACCGCCCCCUUUAUCAGGCUCUCACACUCUGGGCCACCACUCCCCUGCCCUAAUCACCCCAGGGCCAGGUGCCAGACAACUCAGGGCGGAUCCAUAUCCCACAGCCUACUGACAAACCAGCCAACCCUAAACCUGCUUCCCCUGCCUUGCCCAUUCCUUACCAUAGAAAACCACAAUAAAGCCUCUAGCCCGUUUCCCCUCACUCCCUCUGCCUCCUGAACAACCCUGAUGCUUCCCUGUGUGGUCCCUUGUGGCAUAGAGUGCCCCCUCUUCUCAGGAACUAUGGUGAUGGCCAGGGUGCACAAGACCCCGGUGAAGGAUGGGAAAAAGAGCAAGAAGAUGAAGAAAGUCAUCAUCUGUGAGGCCCGCCAGGCUUUGCUCGGAGGCUGGAAAUUCAUCAUCAGGCUGAUCUGAAGAGAGAGAGGCAGCCACCUCCCAUCUGCAGCCGGAGCAGCGGCAGAGGGACCCCAGCCAGGCCUGGCUUCCUGACACCUUUGCAGAGCCCCCUUCCCCAGCUUUAAGCGCCACCAGGUCACAGGUGACUGAACAAAGCUGAUUGAUGGCAAUGUCGGACUGACUCACAUUUUUGGAGUAGAACAUGAUGAAAAGCAUAAUCAUUUGGAUAAAGGGCAGCAGGGGGCAGAAGAAGAUGCCAAUCCUGUGAGGGAGAGAGGAAUCGUAACACUGAAAUGUGGUGCUGAAGUCAGAGCACGUAACACAAGGGAAGAAGUUUAUGGAGUUGGGGAUCUCAAAGAUCACAAAGGAAAACAACAAAAAAAACACAUAUAUGUGUUAAAGCUCAAAGUGAGAGCAAAUGAAUAAUGGCUGCACUUUAUUCCAAUUCAGUGUUUUUCUCUUUCCUGUAACAAAAAACAUUUAGCAAAGUCAAUAAGAUCCUGCGUGUUUGGUCACCCUACCUCUUCUAUUUUUUUUUUUUUUUUUUUUUGAGACAGGAUCUUGCUGUGUCACCCAGGCUAGAGUGCAGUGGCACAAUCACAGCCCACUGCAACACUG
rnacentral:lncRNA from 1 species